ensembl:snoRNA SNORD114-14 small nucleolar RNA, C/D box 114-14
UGGACCAAUGAUGAUAUCUGCCGGCGUAUGAGUUGUGGAUGAUGAAUAAUAAAUGUCUGGAACUCUGAGGUCCAA